AACAGGUGCAUUAGUGCUGGAAGACUGUCAGGUGGAUAAUGAGAAUUCAGCGACUUGAGAAGGCAUGUCAUAUUUCUGAAAAUGAUGGAAAGUCACUUCCCACCUCUUUCCUAAGAUUUCUUAGAAGGUUUAGGGAAAUUGCUAGUGAGACCUAAAAACAAGAGGAUGUCUAGAGGGUGUGAAAUAAGGCACUGGACUGAAGUGAGAAGGACCACACAUUUAUCGAGAGGCUUUUAAAAUAUAUGGAUAUUGGGAUCCCUGGGUGGCGCAGCGGUU